rnacentral:rRNA from 1 species
UACAGAGGGUGCAAGCGUUGUUCGGAAUUAUUGGGCGUAAAGCGCGUGUAGGCGGCUUUGCAAGUCGGGUGUGAAAUCCCUCGGCUCAACCGAGGAAGUGCGCCCGAAACUGCAGAGCUUGAGUACUGGAGAGGAUGGUGGAAUUCCCCAAGUAGAGGUGAAAUUCGUAGAUAUGGGGAGGAACACCGGUGGCGAAGGCGACCAUCUGGACAGAUACUGAUGCUGAGGAGCGAAAGCGUGGGGAGCGAACAGG